rnacentral:rRNA from 1 species
UACGUAGGUGGCAAGCGUUAUCCGGAAUUAUUGGGCGUAGAGAGCGCGCAGGUGGUUAAUUAAGUCUGAUGUGAAAGCCCACGGCUUAACCGUGGAGGGUCAUUGGAAACUGGUUGACUUGAGUGCAAAAGAGGGAAGUGGAAUUCCAUGUGUAGCGGUGAAAUGCGUAGAGAUAUGGAGGAACACCAGUGGCGAAGGCGGCUUCCUGGUCUGCAACUGACACUGAGGCGCGAAAGCGUGGGGAGCAAACAGG